CAGAAAAGCGCCGGCUAACUACGUGCCAGCAGCCGCGGUAAUACGUAGGGCGCAAGCGUUAUCCGGAAUUAUUUGGCGUAAAGAGCUCGUAGGCGGUCUGUCGCGUCUGCUGUGAAAACCCGAGGCUCAACCUCGGGCCUGCAGUGGGUACGGGCAGACUAGAGUGCGGUAGGGGAGAUUGGAAUUCCUGGUGUAGCGGUGGAAUGCGCAGAUAUCAGGAGGAACACCGAUGGCGAAGGCAGAUCUCUGGGCCGUAACUGACGCUGAGGAGCGAAAGGGUGGGGAGCAAACAGGCUUAGAUACCCUGGUAGUCCACCCCGUAAACGUUGGGAACUAGUUGUGGGGUCCAUUCCACGGAUUCCGUGACGCAGCUAACGCAUUAAGUUCCCCGCCUGGGGAGUACGGCCGCAAGGCUAAAACUCAAAGGAAUUGACGGGGACCCGCACAAGCGGCGGAGCAUGCGGAUUAAUUCGAUGCAACGCGAAGAACCUUACCAAGGCUUGACAUAUAGAGGAAACGUCUGGAAACAGUCGCCCCGCAAGGUCUCUAUACAGGUGGUGCAUGGUUGUCGUCAGCUCGUGUCGUGAGAUGUUGGGUUAAGUCCCGCAACGAGCGCAACCCUCGUUCUAUGUUGCCAGCACGUAAUGGUGGGAACUCAUGGGAUACUGCCGGGGUCAACUCGGAGGAAGGUGGGGAUGACGUCAAAUCAUCAUGCCCCUUAUGUCUUGGGCUUCACGCAUGCUACAAUGGCCGGUACAAAGGGCUGCAAUACCGUGAGGUGGAGCGAAUCCCAAAAAGCCGGUCCCAGUUCGGAUUGAGGUCUGCAACUCGACCUCAUGAAGUCGGAGUCGCUAGUAAUCGCAGAUCAGCAACGCUGCGGUGAAUACGUUCCCGGGUCUUGUACACACCGCCCGUCAAGUCAUGAAAGUCGGUAACACCUGAAGCCGGUGGCCCAACCCU
rnacentral:rRNA from 1 species